UGAUAAUUAAUUUGAUUUCCUUGGCAGAUAUAUUUUCCUCUAAUGAUGGUGCUUGUUUUAUGGCGGCAUCAAUUGAUAAUCUUGAUGAUGACUAGAUAUAUUUUCCUCAAAGGUUGUGGUUGUUUGAUGAUUUUGUUGGCAACUUGGCAUCUUUUGAUAUUUUGUGGUUGUUGUUUUAGAGAGAUUUUUUGGUGGUAUUCUUUUGAUGUCUUGAGAAUGAUUAAAUGUUAUAUAGAUUAGCUAUUGUCAUUAGAUUUAUAAAGAACCAAAUUCUAUUUGAAAAUUGAAUUUCUAAAAACUGGAUUUAAAAGUGGAUUUUUUGUUAAAAUAUCUG